GACGAACGCUGGCGGCGUGCCUAAUACAUGCAAGUAGAACGCUGAAGGAGGAGCUUGCUUCUCCGGAUGAGUUGCGAACGGGUGAGUAACGCGUAGGUAGCCUGCCUGGUAGCGGGGGAUAACUAUUGGAAACGAUAGCUAAUACCGCAUAAGAGUAGAUGUCGCAUGACAUUUGCUUAAAAGGUGCAACUGCACCACUACCAGAUGGACCUGCGUUGUAUUAGCUAGUUGGUGAGGUAACGGCUCACCAAGGCAACGAUACAUAGCCGACCUGAGAGGGGGAUCGGCCACACUGGGACUGAGACACGGCCCAGACUCCUACGGGAGGCAGCAGUAGGGAAUCUUCGGCAAUGGACGGAAGUCUGACCGAGCAACGCCGCGUGAGUGAAGAAGGUUUUCGGAUCGUAAAGCUCUGUUGUAAGAGAAGAACGAGUGUGAGAGUGGAAAGUUCACACUGUGACGGUAUCUUACCAGAAAGGGACGGCUAACUACGUG
rnacentral:rRNA from 1 species